rnacentral:rRNA from 2 species
AAAUUGAAGAGUUUGAUCAUGGCUCAGAUUGAACGCUGGCGGCAGGCCUAACACAUGCAAGUCGAACGGUAACAGGAAGCAGCUUGCUGCUUCGCUGACGAGUGGCGGACGGGUGAGUAAUGUCUGGGAAACUGCCUGAUGGAGGGGGAUAACUACUGGAAACGGUGGCUAAUACCGCAUAACGUCGCAAGACCAAAGAGGGGGACCUUCGGGCCUCUUGCCAUCAGAUGUGCCCAGAUGGGAUUAGCUUGUUGGUGAGGUAACGGCUCACCAAGGCGACGAUCCCUAGCUGGUCUGAGAGGAUGACCAGCCACACUGGAACUGAGACACGGUCCAGACUCCUACGGGAGGCAGCAGUGGGGAAUAUUGCACAAUGGGCGCAAGCCUGAUGCAGCCAUGCCGCGUGUAUGAAGAAGGCCUUCGGGUUGUAAAGUACUUUCAGCGGGGAGGAAGGUGUUGCGGUUAAUAACCGCAGCAAUUGACGUUACCCGCAGAAGAAGCACCGGCUAACUCCGUGCCAGCAGCCGCGGUAAUACGGAGGGUGCAAGCGUUAAUCGGAAUUACUGGGCGUAAAGCGC